CAGGAAUCUAAUGAGAUAAUGCAGUAAUAAAUUUACAUAAGACACCACAAACGAAAUACGAAUAAUUUUGUUUAACAAAGUAAUUAAUCACAUAUUUGUGAAGAGGAACGUGGUGCUUAAAAAUCAAUCAAACAGUUUUUAUUACAAUGCGUAGUAAAAUCAGUGCCAAGCUCUCUUCCCUACUUCAAAAAAACAAGCUAAGAUCAAUUUCAUGUCAAAGACAAUCACUUCGAAGCACAAGAGGGUAGGUAACUGUAUUCUGAAACUAUUGGCCGACGUCCAUCCUUAAUUCCUUUUUAGUUGUGCAGAGAGCACUGCUUAGAGACAUAAACACUGUCAGAAUCUAACUGAACAAUUUUGGUUGAUGAUGUGCUCCUAUGCAGUUCGUUGUUGUUGAAAGCAUAUCAAGCAACUAAGUAUAAAUCUUUCACACACCUUAAGAUGUUCUUGGAUGUGGUUGUCAUUCUUUCCCAACUGAACAAGUUUGUUAUAAAUCCGUGUUAUAUGUCCUGUGUUACCCACUUGGGGUGCUUGUUUCACAGUAGCAGGCAAAGUUGGCUACAUCAAUUGAAAAACAUCAUUAAAGCAAUAUCAAGCUAUUAAAUACAGUGAGGUUGCAGUGUUCCCAUUUAACACGUUCUGUUCUUGGAGAGAAUGGGGUGCAUAACUCGAAAAGAACGAGGAAAUUUCAAAACCUAAUAAUUUAAUAAGAAGUAAAUCAGUCACCAUCAGCACUACCUCUGAGUCGCCGGAACCUACAGGUAAGUACCCCUCUCUCUCUCUCUGCUCGGAACACUGUUCCAACAAAGUUUCCGCCAACAGUGGUCUCUCACGGCGGUCUUUCUUCGACACCUCCUACACCACCGA
rnacentral:lncRNA from 1 species